rnacentral:lncRNA from 1 species
GAGAGAGUAGAAGCAGACCGGCGUGCCCGAGGUUAUUCGAGUACAAAUCACGAUAGCAGACAGACGUGUGCUGACAACGUGGUCGCCAAUGGAUGUGUGUGCUGUUAUCCGGUAUGAAUGGGCACGUGGGACUAGUGUGUCCAUCAUCCAUGAACGCCUACAGAUCUUGUAUGGGGA